GCCGGUGUAGCUCAGUGGUAGAGCACCGGAUUUGUAAUCCGGCGGCCGAGGGUUCGACUCCCUCCGCCGGCC
rnacentral:tRNA from 1 species